GCACCCAGGGAUAGUAUAGCGGUUCACUUGGAAGCCCCCUUUUCUAUACAUGGUACUGG
rnacentral:pre_miRNA from 1 species